CUUUACGCCCACCCUAUUGCUAGUCUCCGUCUCCACCAUUAUCAUUAUGUUCGUAAUGGGUUUCCUCUCUGUGUUGAUCUUGGUCUUCGUCUUCUUGUUCGUCUUCAUAUUCAUCUUCUUCUUCUCCAUCGUCUCCACCGCCUUCCAACGUGCUUGAAUGCAAUGUCGUCCUAGUCUCCCAUCGUGUAUCCUCCACUCCACCAGCAGACGGUUGCACCGAUGACCCACUGCAAUAGAACAAUGAUGCGUGCGGUAUUUAUGUCACUAUCGACGUGUAACUAUAAUGUGCAACAAAAUUGGGAUGCAUCGACAUUAACCAGGGCACCGACAUUAACAUCGACGUCUGCAUCAGCGUCGUAAUUGGUGACAGUGCAUGUGUCAGCAUCUGGCCCGACAUUUGGGUUGACAUUAGGGUGUAAAAUGCAAGGGGCUUUGGUGGCCCGAAAUAUGUACCUACAGUAACAGAAAAAUCCUCCACAUGCAGUGGUGGUGCAGAGUAUGGUGCUUGUGAAAAAACACGAGGUUAGUGAAAUGUACAAGGAAAAAUGGAGUGAACUGCCCAGGAUAUUACAUGGACACAGGCAGUGCUUCUUGGGGCGGAGCUGAUGACGAACCUACCGUGCGACUGCAUCUGGCCCUGCGUUGUUGCUGGGGCAGUCAUCGUUGUUUCUUCUUACUCCUCGCCUUUAGUAAUAGCAUAUAUAACUUGUUGGCAAGUCUGAACCACGGUAAGUACUCCAAACAAGCCACCGUGUCUGCUGGGAAAAAUGGUUCGCAGAUGGGUAAGAAAUUCAUCCUAUGAUCCCAA
rnacentral:lncRNA from 1 species